UACGUAGGGGGCUAGCGUUGUCCGGAAUCAUUGGGCGUAAAGCGCGUGUAGGCGGUCCGGUAAGUCCGCUGUGAAAGUCGAGGGCUCAACCCUCGAAUGCCGGUGGAUACUGUCGGGCUAGAGUGCGGAAGAGGCGAGUGGAAUUCCUGGUGUAGCGGUGAAAUGCGCAGAUAUCAGGAGGAACACCUAUUGCGAAGGCAGCUCGCUGGGCCGGAACUGACGCUGAGGAGCGAAAGCGUGGGUAGCAAACAGG
rnacentral:rRNA from 1 species